UCGGUGUUUGGCUCGACAGAAAAAGAGGUGGCAGAAGAAGAAAAGGAAGAGAAGAAGAUGAUAUACCGAAAAUGGAGUCUGCUAACUGGCCCAGUUGCCAUAUUGGCAGCGAUAGCUGUGCCUGUCACUAUUAUCAACUACAUCAUCGUUAAAGACGAUUUGUUCCCUAGCCCGGAGAAGGUGAAGAAUGACCAGGGAUCAACAAACAAGUAGAAACAAGGGAUUUGGUGCCUUCUCGUCUCAAAUUUGGUUUAAGCCUGUGUCAAGGACUUGAGGUCUGCUUUUGUUGGAUAUAAUACGCAAACUUGUGUUUAAGUUGCAGUUUGGGGCAUGGAAUUUUUGUUGAAUAAUGUUGACAGUUUGAACCAAAACUUCUGAGCUAAGUUCAAUAGAUUUGGUUGUUCAACCCUGAUUCUUGUGAUUA